UACGGAGGAUCCGAGCGUUAUCCGGAUUUAUUGGGUUUAAAGGGUGCGUAGGCGGCCUGUUAAGUCAGGGGUGAAAGACGGUAGCUCAACUAUCGCAGUGCCCUUGAUACUGAUGGGCUUGAAUGUACUAGAGGUAGGCGGAAUGUGACAAGUAGCGGUGAAAUGCAUAGAUAUGUCACAGAACACCAAUUGCGAAGGCAGCUUACUAUGGUAUUAUUGACGCUGAGGCACGAAAGCGUGGGGAUUCAACAGG
rnacentral:rRNA from 1 species